UUGAUAGAGGCGCAAUAAUUAUGAGUACCCCAUCUGUAUUCAGGCUUUGGAUGCUGGGAAAGGAAUUGUUGCCGAAGUGGUCUACACUGCCUGUGAGUAAAGACUGCUGGUCUGGUGCAGAAUAUGUAUCAGAUUGUCACAUGAUAUAAAAACAAGCGAAGAAAAGAAUCUUUGCUUGUAUGUGGAGCGCUAUCA
rnacentral:ncRNA from 1 species